AGAGUUUGAUCCUGGCUCAGGAUGAACGCUAGCGGCAGGCCUAAUACAUGCAAGUCGAACGGUGAUAGCAAUAUCAUAGUGGCGCACGGGUGCGUAACACGUAUGCAACCUACCUUAUACUGAGGGAUAGCCUUUCGAAAGGGAGAUUAAUACCUCAUAACACAUUGAACUGGCAUCAGUUUAUUGUUAAAGAUUUAUUGGUAUAAGAUGGGCAUGCGUCCAAUUAGUUAGUUGGCGAGGUAACGGCUCACCAAGACGAUGAUUGGUAGGGGAACUGAGAGGUUAAUCCCCCACACUGGCACUGAGAUACGGGCCAGACUCCUACGGGAGGCAGCAGUAGGGAAUAUUGGGCAAUGGAGGCAACUCUGGCCCAGCCAUGCCGCGUGCAGGAAGAAGGCGUUAUGCGUUGUAAACUGCUUUUAUAUAGGAAGAAAUAGACCUUGCGAGGUAAGUUGACGGUACUAUAUGAAUAAGCACCGGCUAACUCCGUGCCAGCAGCCGCGGUAAUACGGAGGGUGCAAGCGUUGUCCGGAUUUAUUGGGUUUAAAGGGUGCGUAGGCGGUUUAUUAAGUCAGUGGUGAAAGACGGUCGCUCAACGAUUGCAGUGCCGUUGAUACUGGUAGACUUGAGUG
rnacentral:rRNA from 1 species